rnacentral:rRNA from 1 species
ACUCCUACGGGAGGCAGCAGUGGGGAAUUUUGGACAAUGGGGGCAACCCUGAUCCAGCCAUGCCGCGUGAGUGAAGAAGGCCUUCGGGUUGUAAAGCUCUUUCAGCCGGGAAGAAAUCACAUGGGUUAAUACCCUGUGUGGAUGACGGUACCGGAAUAAGAAGCACCGGCUAACUACGUGCCAGCAGCCGCGGUAAUACGGAGGGUGCAAGCGU